rnacentral:rRNA from 1 species
CGAAGAACCUUACCAGGUCUUGACAUCCCGAUGCUAUUUCUAGAGAGUAGAAAGGUUACUUCCGGUACGAUCGGUGACAGGUGGUGCAUGGUUGUCGUCAGCUCGUGUCGUGAGAUGUUGGGUUAAGUCCCGCAACGAGCGCAACCCCUAUUGUUAGUUGCCAUCAUUCAGUUGGGCACUCUAGCGAGACUGCCGGUAAUAAACCGGAGGAGGGUGGGAUGACGUCAAAUCAUCAUGCCCCUUAUGACCUGGGCUACACACGUGCUACAAUGGUUGGUACAACGAGUUGCGAGUCGGUGACGGCGAGCUAAUCUCUUAAGCUGGUCUCAGUUCGGAUCGAAGUCUGCAACCCGACUUCGUGAAGCUGGAUUCGCUAGUAAUCGCGCAUCAGCCAUGGCGCGGUGAACACGUUCCCGGGCCUU